AACCUAAAGGCGAAAUGAAAGUGAAGGUCCGCCUCGCGCGGACCUAGGGAGGAUGGGCUCGCCCACGGGCGGCCCCGCACUCCCGGGGCGUCUCGUUCUCAUCGCGAGAGGAGGCGCACCCAGAGCGUACACGCUGGGACCCGAAAGAUGGUGAACUAUGCCUGGUCAGGACGAAGUCAGGGGAAACCCUGAUGGAGGUCCGUAGCGAUUCUGACGUGCAAAUCGAUCGUCGGAACUGGGUAUAGGGGCGAAAGACUAAUCGAACCAUCUAGUAGCUGGUUCCCUCCGAAGUUUCCCUCAGGAUAGCUGGCGCUCGCCGCGCGCGAGUCUCAUCCGGUAAAGCGAAUGAUUAGAGGCAUUGGGGUCGAAACGGCCUCAACCUAUUCUCAAACUUUAAAUGGGUGAGAUCUCCGGCUUGCUCGAACAAGUGAAGCCGCGAGAUUUCGGAUCAGA
rnacentral:rRNA from 2 species